CUGGCAUAAAUUACUUCUCAAUAAUAUAAUUGCCAUGAGUUUAAGAAAAUAUCAAAGGAAGAAUGUGGACACAUACAUGGCAAUGAAUAUGUAGAGGUCUACAUAGUUUACACAGGGUCAAAGCACAAAACAACACAGUCAAUGAAAUAAAAACUUUCAACACCCUUAGCUCGGCCUAGGAAUUUAUCAAACUUUAUCCAUAUAUCAUGGGAAGUGUUUUGCCCUUGAAUGGCCCCUUAACUUGAAACUUAAAAGAGGAAAUCCAUGCAGAAAUAAUAAUGUAUAAAAUAAUAUUACCAUUACUCUGAUUACUUACACAAUUGUUUUCUGGUAAUCACAUAAUAUUCCCACACUUGUUUUUUUGUUUAGCAUUUAAAAUUACAAUUUCAUUAACGAUAAACUAACUGCACAGAAAAGUAAAAUACAUUCAGUUGACAUUUAGUAAUAGUGAACCAUAAAUCCACACUGCAAAAUGUGAACGUUGCCACAGGCCACUAAAGUCGGAAUUUAUCUUCACUUUCCAACUGAACCAAAGCCAUACAUAAUACAUGCCAUAAUACAAGCCAACUUACAUGACUCAGUUGACAUUUUUAAAUUUUCACAUUUUUUUGGUUUUCAAGGAUGAACCAUUAGCACUAACAGUUACUUCACAUCAGUGGGAUGUUGUCUCAGCUAACAAAAAACAAUGUGGUCCUCAAAACAGUAUGUAAAUUUCAAAGCCUCAUUUUGGGGCUAGGCUCACUUAAAGAAAGCAUUUUGGUAUAAGAAAAAGGUGAAUUUUUACAGAUAAAGAAUUUUAUUUAUAGAUCAGUUUUGGAAAGGUGCCACAUAUAAUGUCAAUCUCAACAGAACGAAAAGUUACCCAGUGAUAUUCUUUCUAUCCUCCUGCUCAUCCUGGUCUUCAAUGACUAGUGCUUGAUACCAUGCAUGCUUCCAUCCCUCUCAGAAGUAAGUUCAUUAUAGUCAAAGGCUCAUCCAAGCCAGUGAGCAGGGUCAGGGAUCACUAAGAACCCUUAUGAGAAACAACAGGUUUGUGUUGUUGAACUUUUUCUUAGUAGACCCAAAUCGCCCAGGCUUUAAGGAAGAAAGUUUUGUGAAAACAAAACCUCUGAAAGUCCCAGUAGAGAAGCCAGGAUCUUGGUGCCUCUCUUGAUCCAUGCCAGUCCUGAUGGCAAUAUCAAUGGAGGACGAAAGAGUAACUCUGGAAAUUCAGCAUUUUCCUCUCCUCAACAGAAGCUGAUCCAGGGAAGAGGAAUGAUUUCAAAGCCUCAUCUAUUUGAGCAAAAUCAUUAAUACUUGUUAAAUAUACAAGUUUGAUACAGAAAAUACAAAGGAAAACUAGAAAAAGAACGUGGAAACUGACACGCUAUCCUCGUUUCUACAUUUAUAACAAUUAUUGUGCAUCUACUCUGUUACCAGAAUUGCGCUAAUCAUGUUCACGCUACAACCUCAUAUAUUCAAUGGAGACUUGACACACUGUAGCCCAGAGAGUUGUGUCUUGACUGUGUGAAAAAGUAAUUUCUCAUAACCCACUAAGAGUCUAUACGUGAUUCCUUAUAAUAAAAUAGCCGGUAUUUAUGGAACUGAAACAAACCUUAAUAGAAAAGGUCCAUGCAUUUACUUUUCCAUUAAGUAGGAUUUUGGUAAAAAUGUGUAAUAAAAGUUCUAAAACAUUUAAACAAGAAUAAUGAGGAAAAGAUGAAAUGGAAAACAAUAUUCAAACAUGUGGUACUUUCACUCGAAUAGAGAUUAAAUCAAUCAUGGAGACAAGCAAGCUUGAAAAGAGACGUACAUAUGUAUAUGACUUCAUAUCAUGUUAAAAAUGGCUUUUUCCAAACAGUGGGAAUGGACAUACCAUUUAAAACAUAGUAUAGAGACGAAUAUUUAACAAUAACAGCAGCAGUAGACUACACUGCUUAACAGUACAGAUUCUGGGGCAAAAUGGUACCAGCCUGUGACCUCGGGCAAGUUCUUAACCUCUCUGUGCCUCUGCAUUCUUGCUCUAUAAAAUCAGGGGUUGGAGAAGGGAAACUACUUUGUAAGGUCGUUACAAGGAUUAAAAGUUAUUAUGUAUAAAGCACUUAGAAUAGUGCCUUAUAUAUACUAAACACCCUAAGUACAUGUUAAAUAAAUUAAAUAUCGGAGAGAAACAAAUUUAUAUCUUUAUUUCAAAUCACUCCAAAGCAAAUUUUAAGUAGAUUCAAAAGUUCAAUGUUAAAAAAAUAACACUACAACCAUAAGAAAGACAUGUUUUUCAAAUUAGGAGUGGGGAAAGCAUUUUGAAGACUAAUAAAGACCAACUUCAAAGUUUAAAAUGUCUCUGUCUAAAAUCAACAUAAAUCAAACUAAAAAUCAAAUGACAGACUAAGAAAAUGAGUCACAUACAUUUAAAGUAACUAAUAUGCAAAGAGCUCUUAUAAGUCACUAAGAAAACGACAAAUAUGUAUAUAGAAAAAAUGGGCAAAGGCCAUGAAUAGGCAAGCCACAGAACAAGUAAAGUUUCUAGUAAAUGUACUCACAGAAAACUUCAUUGGAAUUCAGAGAACUGCAAAUGGAAAUAAGAUUUUGCUCAAAAAAUAUAGGAAGAUUUAUGUAUAAAUGUGUAUACGUGUAUAACAACUGUAGGCAUGAAUCUAAGAAGUAGAUUAUAUCAUAAACUGUUUAAAGGAAUAUAUUGAUACAUAUUUUCUUGGAAGUUAAUUCAGAAUAGGCAUUGAACACUCUUUAAAAAAUGAACAUAUCAAAAUCCAGAAAUUCAAUCUUUAGAAAUUUCUCCUGAAGAACAUGCAUAGAGAUCUAAUCAUGUUUUUAAUCAACUAUCACCUAUAAUAAGCAAAUUUCAUUCAUUCAACAAAAAAUAUUUAUGAGCAUCUACCAAAUGCUAUAUUGAGAUAAGGUCUGUGAAUUUAGUAGUUUCAUGCCAAAGUUUAUAAAUAAGUGGAAAUGAGAAAAAAUGGAAACUAACAUCCAAUGAUUGCUUAAAAGCAAUGAAAAAGAACUGUGCUCAUUAAAAGGAGAAAGAUAUUUGUGACAAACGCAUGUCAGAAACAUUAUCAAUAUUUACCUAUACAUAAGAACACAGGCAUUAUCAGAAGGCAGUAUAAGAUAAUUACGCCUGGGUAGUUAGGAAAAGGUGAUUUUAAUUUUCUUCUGUCAUAUUUUAGUAUUUUAAAAUUUAUUCUAUCACAAAAAUUUUGUAACCAGAAAAAUAUAUAAUUUGAAAAGUAAAUGCCACAACAGACGUUUGUUAGUUAAUUCAUCCAAUAAGUACUUAAUCCAUGCUACUGACAUGUCCCUCACUGUUCCGGGGGCUGGGGUCACAGUGCUGAACAUGACAGAGAAUGCCCCUGUUCUCACGGAGCUUCAGUCUUAGUUAGAAGAGACAAAAGGUUGACAAAUAAGCUAGAAAAAUAUCAAAAAGUUGAGAGCACAUUAAGAAAUAAAAUUGGGUGAUCUUAAUAAGUACUUUAUUUGGGGGUGGAGGGCUCCCAGAAGAGGUAAGAUUUAUACUGAAACUUGAAUGAGAAAAGGGAUCAACCAUGCCAAGAAGAAGGGAGAACAUUCCAGACAAAUGGAACUUUGUGUGAAGAUCCAAAGUGGAAAUCAUCUUGACAAGCUGGAGAAACAGGACGGACACUGUGGCUGACUUGUAUAGGUAAAGGGGAGGGUGGUGAGAGAGGGAAGGGACAGAUGAGGUGGGGCUCUGUGAGUCUGGGUAAAGAAGUUUGGUUUUAUUUUCAAUAGGACGCUGGGUCGUCGCAGGUUUUCAACUAGAGAGAGAUAUAUAAUUUUCAUUUUAAAAAGGUCAAAUCCGGCUGCUACACAGAGCACAGACAAUAGGAGAAAUAAAAACAGAAGCAGGGAGAUAAGUCAGGACACAUUGUAGCAGUCCCAGUGAGAUACGAUGCUGGCUGGGACAGGGUGGUGGGAAUGGAGAUGGAAACAAGUAGGCAAAUUGAGGAAUGUAGGAGAAGAAGAAAGGAUGAAACCAGAUUAUAUUAUAUUACGUGGGUGGAGAGAGGUAUAUUUUACAGAGAUGGAGAAAACUAUGGAAGAAACAGUUUGGGUAUGUGUGAGGAAGGGCAGUGGGCACAGAAUCAAAGACCUAUUUAGCUAUGUGAAGACUGAGAUACAUCUAAGAUACCUAUGGGGAGAUUUCAAAUGGGCAGCUGAACACAAGACUCAGGAGUUCAAAAGAAGGAUUAAGGUUGGAGACAAAGAUCUGGAAGUCUGCAACAUAUAUAGAUAGUUCUGUGAGAUUACAGAUGGCGCACUGAUCAGAUCAGAUGACAGAUGGCAUCUCAAAAGGAUUUAACUGAAAACAAUUUAAUGAAUUGUUUUUACAGAUGUGGAGGCAAGCUGAAGAGAGCCAGCAAGGGGUGGUGAGGUACCCAGGGACCAGCAGACACUACCACCCAUAGGCCUGAAGUGACAGGAGAAAGAACCGUGUUGCCACAGCCCAGGAGGAGCUGGCGCCAGGGAGGAGGGGACCUCUAACAGGAGUUAUACUAAAAAAGGAAUUCAGCCACUGCCAAAACUAUCACCAGGCAGGGAAGGAAUGAGGAGAAUAAAUACUCUGACCUCUUUCUCCUCCUGCCCUCUGAUCCUGCCAGCGUCUCCUACUGGCAGAACUCAACUAGAAGCCAGAAGGCUAAGGCGAGCAGGUGAUGUAGCUGGUUGAGACACCCUCUGGGGGCACUGAGCAGGGUAAAAAGGCAGUUUAUUAAUCCUAGAAAGGGAGGUUAAUGGAGAAUUACUAACAUAAUAUAAUUUAAACAAUGGUCAUGAAGAGAUUUACUUAUGGGAAAGUGUGAAGGUAAUAAAGAAGAGGGUCCAAAGACAGAGCUCUGGGGCUCUCUGAACCUUGGAGGUCAAACACAGCUCGAGGAGUUUGCAAAGGAAAUGGAGAAGCAGUAGCUAGGGAGGUGGGAGGAAAACUGGAGGGUGUGGUGCCACAGAAGCCAAGACAGAAGACUGUCUCAAGAUGCGAAGGUGGGCAGUUUUAUUCAUAACUGUUUUCAGAUCAAGGAAGUAAAAACAGAGAAGUGACUAUGGGAUAUGCCAACAUGAAAGUCACUGGUGACGUUCAUAGCACAAUCUCAGUAAAGAAGUGAAACCAAACUCUACAGAGUAGCUGAGGAAACACUAUAAGGCAAAAAGAGAAGACAGCACCAGAGACAACUCUUUCAAGAAAUUUAGCUAUGAGGGUAAUUAGAAAAAUCAAGUAAUAGCUUGCAGAGAAAUGUGAGGUCAAGAGCACACCUAGUACUUCCUAACAAGAUCUAAAAGAGAGCCAGAGAAGAUAAGUGCUGGAAGAAAAACCUUACGGAAGCAAGAGGGGAUGGCCCCAGAGCACAAGUAGAAGACUUGGUUUGCCUUUGAUAAAAGCAGAGAUAUUCUAAUCAUUCCACCAAGGAAACUAAAGGAGGAUAAGGCGUACACAAGCGCUUGCCUAUACUUGGCAGAUUUGGUGUUGGGAGGAUGUGGGAAUUUCUCAAUGAAGCUUAAAGCACUGGGAGUGGUUGUUUUAGAGACUAGGAAUCAAACACAUAAGCAGCAUGGAUCCCCAGCUGAGAUACAGUCAACUAACUUAAAGAGAAACCUGUUGGUAUAGCUGUGUGUUUUUCUCUAGAGACUUUAAUUUAUCAGGUGCUGGUGAAGAACAGGAGUAGUUGGGCUUAACUGAAGGUGUGGCUCUGACAGGUGAAUAAGGGACAGACAAGGGGUAAGGGAAUUCAGGUGUUUUCAAGAGCAUCAGAAGGAGGGAUCACAGAGCUGAGAAAGGGAAGUGAAGACAUAAAGAGGUUGGCAGACAAUGAAAGUGGGUGGGUCAAUGGUCUGGACAUCUCUGUGAGGUUGAGGAACUCCUGAGAGAACUACAGGAGGUGAGCUGGAAGGAUAGGAGAGGCAGUUAGAGAGUGGGAUGCUUGAAGCCAGAUUGUGAAGGUAGUUCACUUAUGAGAGGUGACAAGGUCAGAAACAUGUCCCCAGACUGUGGAUAUAAGAUGUGUACAGGGGAUGGAACAGAAUAUUAGAAGACAGAUGGUUGGAGGUACUACUGAAUGGGCAACCACAUGAAAACUGAAGUCACCAAAACUGAUGACAACAGUAGUCACAGAAUGGAAGAAAGUGAGCCAGACUCCAGUGCAAGGUUUCUCACUGUGGGUGCUAAUGACAUUUUGAGUAAGGACAUCAAAUUUGGAAUUCUGCUCCCUUCAUCUUCACUUUCCUCGGGCCUGCAGGAAAGACGCAGAAACUGUGCGCAAUUCUUGGUCAUCAGAAGAGACAGGCAAUUGUAGGCUCAGAUGUGAAGAUGAAGCUCCUUAUACCGUGCAUGGGCAGGAUUCAAGACCAAGCACAACUUCAAGCCAGAACAUUCCCAAUCUUCUUCCUUCACUUCCUGGAUGUAAACCAUCUCUUUUCCUAAACUGGUCCUUCUAAGUUUUUAUGAUAUAUACUCUUAUUAGGCCCAGGCUGAAAUAGCCAAGCACAUACAUCUCAGAGUUGCCCUAGCAACCAAAGCCAAGAAAGCCACAGGGACACAGACACCACUACUUCUCCAAUGGGCCCUAGAAGUUACAGCUCCCUCUACUACAGUCUACUCCAACAUUCAGAUCCAGAAGCAUCCACUCACAACACCAGCCCUUUCAUGAUAGUAUUUUAAAAUAUAUUCUAUUAUUAAGAUAUGACUACAUAAACUACCUUAACUCAUUCUUAAAAAUUAUGACUAGUUUUUCUUCAAGUCUCUUUGCAUCAUGAGCAGACUGGCCCGGACUACUCUUAAAUGUCCUUUACCUCUAAAUUCUAACACUCCAGUCCUUCCACUCUUCUGAGUACAAUUCAACCAUACCAAUUUUUGAUCUCUGAUUUGGCUAACAUAAUUUAGAGCCACAUCUGGUAAAUAAAAAGGGAAUUCAAGCUAAAGAACUUUUAGUUUAAAAAAAAUUUUCUAUGACAUUUUCUGUGACUCAUAAACUAACCUCAAAUGUAAUCCCAAAAGAACUCUAAAGCAAGCAUGGAACAAGGGCAGCUGCAAACGUUUACAACCAUCUAAGGCAGUGUUCUUCCAAACUGUGGGAAGGGAUCAACGAGUGGGCAAUGAGAUGAGUUUACUGAGUAUUGACUAGCAUUUUCUUAUUGAAAAUAAUAGAGAAUAUCCAAAGGUGUCACACGUAGUAUCAUUCUGUGACAUUUUUGUUUCAGUGAUAGGUCUGCAUAUGUGUACUGAGUAGUGAUGUAAAAUAUAUUUUUCUUACUAUGGGUUGUAGAUAAAACAUCUGAAAUUCACAGAUUUUAGAUUGCUUUGGAGACAAUAUUCAUUUGUCCUCACUAUGUUCUUAAAAUUUGAUUUAAAAAAAAAUGGGUCUCCUUACUUUAAGCAUCUCCUCUCAUACCACCAUAGGUCCAAUUAGUGGCUCAGGUCUCAAAUGAUCAAGCUCUUCAUGUACUUUGGGUAAUGGAGCAAUCCACUCGGAGCUCUCUUCCUUUGAUUUGGUACUCUGGAGAGCAACUCCAGUGCUCAGGCCUCUUAGGUCAAGGAGGACGAGGCUUACCCCUAAAGAAAGUUGAUGUGGCUGAAUCUCAGGGAAUUAUUCAAGCAGAAAGUCUUAAAUCAUCAUAGUAGACUUUGGAAAAUCAUGAUGCAAAAGACUACCUUAUUUUGGGGCUCUGUUGUGGUUGGCCACCAUGAUUUAUUUAAACCACCAGUAUCAUUUUACUACAAGAGCCUGUUAUAUCCUAAAGUCUAAAAGAACGAAAAUUUCUAUGGUUUAUGGACAGCCUGAAGGACAGGAAGUAAAGAGAUUUAUCUGAAUUUUUUUAAACCACAAAUAAACAAAAAAGAGAUCUUUUUGAAAUUAUCCCUAAUCUUCAAAGGAUUGUGAAGAUAUUAACUACAUCACAGUAUACUUUUCUUCCUUUAUGUUAGCCAUCUAAGCACAUUGGGCUUAAGUAAUUCCAGAUGAGUAAACUGAAAUAUACUACCCUUCCCAAAUGCAGCUCCUGGGACCACUUUACCCUGGGUUUUUCAUUUUGUUUUGUUUUGUUUCUCCUUAGCAGUGCACUUUAAUGAUAGCUUGUGUAUCAUUAAAGAGUUUUCCUCACUAGGUUUUGUUUUGGGAGAUUCACUAGGAUUUUGUACAUCUGUGGUUUAUAUUAUUAAAAAAGGAGGUGCUCUUUGAAUUAGAGAACUUUGAAUAAACUUAUGAAAAUCUUUAGGAUACAUUAUUUGACAUUCCUGUGCCCAAAGUAAAUGUUGCUUUUAGCGCUGGGAAAGUUUUAAAAAUUUAUUUAUUGAUGCUCGAUAGCUCAAGCACCAAUGAUACUAUUUAAAACACCAUGUAUUUAAAUUUUGAUAACUACUUAGUUGAGAUUUAUCUAUGUAGCUACAAGCACAAACUGAUCUAUAACAAGAUUGUAUCACAAAAUGUGCUGUGAUUACUAAAACAAUUAAAAUGUGUACUUCAAAUAAUAGGUCAACAUUUUCGAUGUAAGAAAGAACAACUUUUGAGGUAAAGUCAUUAUCAGUGGCCUAUGGAACUAUGAUGCCUUGGUUUUCUGUUGCACAAUUACAUUCACAUACAUUGAAAAUAAAGGCUAACUACAAAGUAAAUAUAUCAAUAUUUAGAUAUAAAUGACUAGCUGCAACUGAAACAAGAAAAGUAGGAAUAGAGAGAUUACCCCACUUCUGUUCAGAGAGCUACAGAAGUGGGUUCAGCUGAAUUUCAAACCAUUAUUAACAUUUUUUUAACUUUCCUUUAAAACUUAAGACAUUUAGGGAUGCACCAAGAACAAGAAUUAAAAGGAACUAGAGUCCUGCCCUGUUCUGCUCCACCAUACUUCUAUCCAUUCAGAGAAAAGAGGAGCCCUGAGGAAGGUCAGAGAGAGAGAAGCAACGGAUCUCUACAUGCCCUGGGCUGUUUUACAGACAAAGAAAGGAGUCCCCAACAGUGAUAAAACAGGUCUAAUGAGACACCAGCUCCAUGGAGCUGCACUGUAUGGUUUUGCUUGUAUGCAGCUUUUAUCUACCUAUGCAGGUAGAGACAAUAUGCACGAAGCUAGGACCAGAAGUUGAGACCUACAGUUGAUCUUAUCCAUCAGGGACCCCAUCCUCCCCACAGGGCUUCUCCAUCCACUGUCUCCGCAUUUCAGGAAUCCAUCUUGUCAUGCACAUCUUGCUGAGUACUGGAGACUUUUUUCCUGGAAACUAUCUCAAUUUACGAUUAAUACUAUUGAGCCCUUGCCAUAGGCUAAUCUUAUAAACUCAAAAUUCAUGCCCUCAAACUCAGAGGCAAGUGGCUUAACAGAUAUAUAAACAAAUAUAAAAAGAAAAUUAAACUUCUAUCACAGAUAUAUGCACAGGAUAUAAAGGAAUAGACAUGGGGAAAACCUAGUGAGCCCAGACUGGUGAGAAGAGGUGUCCAGGAGCAUUGAAAGACAGUAGGAAUUGGCCAGUCAGCGUGUGGAGGAGGCAGGUGUGCCUGUAUGGAGAGGGUGAUAAGCAUUCUGAGUAGUUAAAAGACAGUGUGAAAGAUACAGCAGAACGAUGUAGCUGUGAAGGUCAUGCACGGAAGUGUUUUUUUUGGUUGGUUGGUUGGUUGGUUUUUACCCUAAAGGUUAUGGGGAGCCUCUGAAGGACUAUAAGCAGAAGGAUGGCAGCUGGAUUUAAUGUUCAAACUCCAAUCUGACAGUAAUGGGAAAAAUGAACUGGGGGAAGAGGUGCAGUCUAAAACAUUACUACUCAAAGUGUGGUCUGCAGACUACAGCCAGCCUGCAAACUGUCACAGAGCUAUUACAAGAUAACUAUGGAAAUUUGAAAGACUAAGUUUGUAUCUGUUAGAUCUAAUGAUAAAAAAUUUGAACUUUUAAAACAUGGCAGUUUUAAAACAUGACUCCACCAAAAUAUGGUGAAAAACAGGAUAUUUGCAUAGUCUUAAAGGACUUCCCCACAAGAUACUUAACAAUGGAGAAACCUGGCAAGCACCACCUUAACCAACUGAGCACAUUUCACAUCGCCAGAAAUGAGACAUACAGAUGUCAUGUACACCCUGACAUCGUGUACUGAGGAGGGCGCAUCAUCACUUCUGUGCACUCUACCCAAAAAUGCAUAACCUCAAUCUAAUCAUGAAUAAACAUCAGACAACCCCAUAUGGAGGGGCGUCUUACAAAAUAACUACCCACUACACUUCAAAAGUGUUAGUGAUGAAAGACAAGGAAAGAUUAGGGAACUGUCCCAGAUGGGAGGAGACUAAUGAGAUAUGAGGACUAAAUGCAACAUGGGAUCCUAGAUUAGACCUGGGACCAGAAAAAAAUAUAUAUAUAUUAAUGGAAAAACUGGUAAAAUUGGAAUAAGAACUGCAGAUUAGUUAAUAGUAUUAUGUCAAUGUUAAUUUCCUGGUUUUGAUAACUGUACUGUGGCUAUAUAAGAUAUUAAUAUUAGUGGAAGCUGGAUGAAUGGCACAUGGAAAUUCUUUGUACUAAUUUAACCACCUUUCUGUAAGGCUAAAAUUAUUUUUGAAUUAAAAGGUUUUUUUAAAAUAGCUCCCAGAUUCUUUACCUCUCCUCCCCUUGAGUCUGGGCAGGUUUGUAACGACUUUAACCAAGAGAACAGCAUGGAAGCAAUACUAUGUGAUUUCUGCUUAUAUUCCACAUGUCUUUUGUUUAAUUUCACUUCUAUAGUAUUUUAGAAAAUAUUUAUUCUGGUUAUCUCUUGAAGGAUAACAAACUACCCCAAACUUAGUGUUACAAAGCAAUAACUACUUUAAGACACUUAUGGAUUCUGUGGGUCAUGAAUUUGGACAGGGCACAGUGGGGAUGGCUUAUCUAUGUUGCCUGAUGUUUGAGGUCUCAGCUGGGAAGACUCAAAGGCUGAGGGUGAUUAGAACAGCUGGGGGCUGUGGUCAUCCAAAGGCUGCUUCACUCACAUUGGCACCUGGGCUGGGAUGACUCAGGAACACUCAGUUAAUUCUCUUGGUCAGAUGACCCUCUCCACAUGGCUUGGCCUCUCACAGCAUGUGGCAGCUGGGCCAUAAGGGAGCAUUCCUAGACAACCUGGCGGAAGCUGCAUGGCCUUUUCUAACUGAACCCUGGAAUACACAGCAUCACUUCCACUGCAUUCUGAGUGGUUACAAACCAGUCAUUCUAGUCAGCCCAGACUCAAGUGGAGUGGAAGCAGAGGGGCCUUCUUACAGGGGAGUGGCAUGGUCAUGUUACAGAAGAGCAUGGGAUGGGAGAGAUUUUUGCAGCCAUCUUUGUAAAACACCAUCUGCUACAGUAUUGUUCUGCCAUACACUGAAAUUUCAAAAACUGUUUCUUCAGCACAGUUUGAGGAGCACUGGUCUAGAACCAGACAGACUGGCUAAUAGGCUACUACAGUGACCCAAAGGAGCCUGACUGGGGCCUUAUAUUAGUUUUCUAUUGCUGCAUAGCAAAUUAUCACAAAUUUAGUGGCUCAAAGCAACAUCCAUUUUUCAGCUCAAAGUUCUUUAGGUCAGACAUCCAGCUCUGCACUGCUGGGUUAUCUGCUCAGCGUAUCAUAAAUCUGGAAGCAAAGUGUCAGCUGGGCUAUGUUCUCAUUUGGAGGCUGCAGGUGGAGGGGGUACGUUUUCAGCCUCAUUCUUACUGUUGACAGAAUUUAGUUCCUUGCAGUUGUAGGCCUGAGGUCCCUAUUUCCUUGCUAGCUGUCAGCCAGGGAACCCUCUCAGGUCCUGAAGGCCACUCACAUUCCUUGCCACAUGGCCUCCUCCAUCUCUGAAACUAUCAAUGGAGAAUCUCCUCCAUGUCGAAUCUUCCUCAAACUUCAAAUCUCUUUGACUUCACUGUCUCUGACCUCUAGACCAUUUUCAAAUGGCUCAUAUGAUUAGUCAGGCCCACCCGGAUGAUCUCCAUAUUUUAAAGUGAACUAGUUUGGGACCUUAAUGACAUCUGCAAUAUCCCUUCACAGCAGCACUAAAUUAGCAUUUAAUUGAACAACAUCAGGGACUGGGAAUCGUGAAGGUCCUCUCAGGAUUCUGCCCACCACAGGCCUGAACUUGUCGCCAUUGAAAUUCCAUCUGACCCUCACCUCUGUUGAAAAAAAAAAUCAUAUUUGAUUCUUUGAAUAAGCUGCUUCUGGCCAACUUGUGUACAAACUCAAAUCGAUGCUGGACAUUUUUUAGCUUUCCAACAAUACUGGUUAGGAGUUUUAGAUUUCAUAUUUGUCAUAACUGAGCAGUAGACUACAAACAAAGCUUUUGCGUUUCUUAUGGCUUACAUAAUUUACCAGUCUAGUGGAACAACAACAGCCAUUUUAAAUAAAAAAUCUCUAACAUCAAGCUGAAUUUCAAAUUAUUGGUUCAGUGAAUCAGCUUCCAAAAAGAAAUGGCUUCAUAAUGUUUAGUUAUGGCACGAUAUUAUGUCUAUCCUGAAAGCAAGAAUAUCUGUAACGUUUCUUCUUGAAAUGUUUGCCCUUGCCGGCAGUGCCUGCUAAUCCUCUUGCAGAGAACUGCAGAAGCCUUACCAAUAAAGGUACACAUGUAAAGAGUUAUUUUUUCCCACACAAAAAGGACCGAGUUGAGAUUUUAGCAGCUUUAGCACAUGGAAUUUCAGAUGUGGUCAUUUUACAAAGAUCUACGGAGUCCUCCUUUCUGGCAGGCAUUAAAUGUCUUCCCUCAAGAAAUUUACACCCCAGUGGGCACAAAAUAUAUGCAAUAUAAAAAUAACUUAAUCCAAGUUAUAAAGGUGACUGCUUCAUUUGCUGAGAAAGUCUUAGAAUUAAGUUAGCAUAUGAGGCCAUACCAGAAUGCAUCGCUGAUGUACGCAAAUCUCCCAUUGCCUAAAAUAGCACGAAAAAGAUAUGAAUUUCAGUAAGAGAUAUUUGGUUAGGUAAAAAGCAAGGGAUUUCCAAUAGAAAGCAGACUUUAGGUGGAAAUAUAAGAACUUUAUGUUACUUUAGCAACUUUGCAAAAUGCUUUUCUACCUAUUACCCCACUAGGUGCCCAAUACAGCCGUGUGAUAAUCCCAUCUGUUGAAUGAAACAAGGCAACAGAAUGUUUCUAUCACAGAAAGUAUGGAAGGUGAGAGGGAAGAGCUGUAGUCAAGAGGAUCUCCAUACAGUGUGUAGAGCUCAUUUACAAGACAUUUCUGACUCCUUCUAACUCCAGUUGCUACAAUAUGCCUGAAAGUCCCAUUUUGUCCCAGGCUUUACAUGAAGUGUCCCUGCACAGACAACAAUACUCUUGGAAACCAGCCAAGGACUCUGACUCCUCCUUCCCACAUCCUGCCUAGUGCUUUCUGUUCUGCCUGGGUCUCGAUUCCUCAGUUUGUUUUUCUGAACGCUGUGGCUCUGCAGCUGGCCUCCUUUCUCUAACAAUUCUUUGAAUCCUUGGUGUUCUCCCCAAGACACGAUUCUGUGUUGAUCCCACAGCUCCACGCCUUGAACCUACAGGUAAGAAGCAUGCUCAUCCUUGCACCAGAGCUGGGAGGGAACCGAACAGAAAGAAAUGCUCAGUAAGAUAGAGGAUUGGCAGGAACACAGACCACAGGCAAGUCCCUAUGAGACCACUAGAUUGUACAUGUGGCCAGCAUUUCCUUUCUCCUACAGACAUGAGUCAAACACUAAGAGGAAUUGUAUAAAAGAUGUUUUUAAAAUUCAUUUCAAUUUAAUAAAUCUGCUUAUUUUCUAUGGCCCCCCUUUUUCCUAUCACUUAAUGAGAUGCAUGAGACUUUUGUUUUGGAAUCUACUCGAAGGCAGGCUAAGAUUUCUCUCUCUUCCCUUUCAUUCACUCAGUAAACAUUCAACGAGAGCCUAUUAUGUGCCAUGCACUGGGCUAAGCGAGAGCUACCCCAAGUACUGUUAGUGCUAGGAUAGACGCCCAUAAAGGUACAGAUGGGACAAGAGAAACAGUCUUUCCUACCUGAGGGGCAUAACAAAGGCUUCAGAGUGUAACCUGUAGUGACUACAGUAGUAAAUAUGGAUCACACGGUUACUAUGUGGAACACAUGGUUCCCAGUGCUAUAAAUGUGCUAACUCACUGGACUCUAACGAAUAAAAAGUAAAACCUUAUAAGUUGGGUCUUAUGAUGAUGAUGAUGACUAACAUUUUUUUCCAGGUGAGAAAGGAAGGCACAAAAAAUUGGUCAGGUGACAAGGAGUGGGGCUGAAAUAUAAACCCAAGCAGCUUAGAUCAAUGUCCAUAUUCCACAGUAUAGGUACUGCUUGAGCUGAGCUUUGAAAGAGGAGUAAGCUAUUGACAGGCAGGGGAUGGAGGAAGGGAUAGGAAGGAAGGGAGGACAGGCAGGGAUGAAAUGUGUCCUGGGCAAAGGGAACAGCAUGACACAAAGCAAAAACAGGAUGGCUCAUUAAGAGCAGUGAAAAGACAGGUUUACUGCAUUAGUGGAAGAGAUAAAGAGAAGGUAGCCAAAGAUCAGGCUGGAGGAAUAAAGCAGGGCAGAUCACAAAAGAUCUUGAUAGCCAGGCUGAGGAGCUUGAACUUUUUCCUGUAGAUCGGGCUGGUAGACUACACCUGCAGGCCAAACCCUGCCAGCCCCAGGAUUUGUAUGACCCACAAGCUAAGAAUGGUUGUUAGGUUUCUAAAUAACUGAAAAAAAUCAAAAAAAAAAUUAUUUCAUGACAUAUGAAAAUUGCAUGAAAUUCAGAUUUCUGUUUCCAUAAAUAAAGUGUUAUUAGAACCCAUUCUUUUACAUACUGUCUACGGCUGCUUUUACACUACAAUAGCAGAGUUGUGUAGCUGCAAUAGAGACCACACAGCAUGCAGGGCCGAAAAUACUUAUUAUCUGGCCUUUUACAGAAAAAGUUUGCUGAGUUAGCACAUGUCCCCGCUCUAGGUGACUGGGCACCACUAAGGGGAGGAUCAGGCAAAAUGACGUCAUUACCAGCUUUAUAUUUUUACAAUGAUUAUUCAGGCUGCAGUUGAGGAGGAUGGACUGAAAACAAAAAGGACUGGGAACAAGAAGACCAGUUAGCCGACAACGACUGCUCUCAAGAUGAGAUGAUAAGAACCAUAGCAGGAGCAAGCAGGAAAAGACAAAGAUGAGAGAGAUUAAUGAGGUCACAUCAACAAGAUUGGAAAAUCUAUUGGAGCAGGAGAGAGAGAGGAGGGGAGAAAUAGAGAAUGACCCCGAGUGCUUGUUUUGUCCUACCUGGAGGCUGCCACCAUGACCACCAGAAAACAAUAAACAUCACAGCAAGCAGUCUCAUUCACAGAAGCUCCCUGUGCACUAAGGCACUGGGCUUAGUGCUUUAGCUUUCACAUAAUCCUUAUCAUGAGGUAGGAAUGAGUAACCUUAUUCUACAACGAAGAAAACUAACAUUGAACCUUCCAAGGUAACACAGCUAACUAGUUUCAGAGCUCAUGAUCCUAACUGUUCUAAGAUACUAUACUAAAUAAUGCAUCGAGGGGAAAAGCUAGUUUGGACAAGAUGAAUUAAGUUUGGAAAGAAGAGUGACAAGUGGGCUGAGGACAGAAACCAAAGGUACACCAACAUACAAAGAGUCUGUAGGAAAAAGAAAGCUGGUGUCCUCCAUGUUCAUAUGAUGUAGGAAGCAAAGAGGUCAAUGUGGGUGGAACAGAAGAGGGUCAAAAAGAACAGCUUAACACCAUGCUCAAUCUCCUUGAUGUGCAGAUCUUAGGUUCAGUCCCAAUUCCUAUAAGUUAUGCUUUUACUAAACUGAGUAACUUUAGUGUCCCCAAACUCAUUUCAGGAGCUAUUUCUAAGAUCAAUCCAUCAUAGCAUAUUAUUAAGAGACAAAAAUAGAGAGUGAUGAUCAACUUAAAACCACUAAGCAAAAGGCUACCUUACUAACCAUGAAAACCAUAAGAUGGGUUAUAAAUUGCCAUUAAUGCUAAUGUUUGAUAAGAACCACCAGUCUGUGUGUGUGUAUGUGCGUGCUUAAGAAAUUUAUGGGUUUUGCCUGAUUAUAGGAAAUAAUUAUUAAAAAUCAUAAUAAUUUUACACAGCUAUUUACACAAAAUCAUUUAUAUAAAAUGUAUAAAUACCGAAGCAUAAAAUAUAGUAUUUUAUUGAAUGUUAUAUUUGGAGAAACAGAAAAGCAUUACAAAGAAAAUAUUAUAACCCCAGCACUCUAAGAAAAUCAUUAAUAAGUGCAGAUGUAUUAUUUACUUGUCUUUUUUCUAUUCAUAUAGGACAUAGGAUCAACCUCAUCUCUAAACUAAGAGCUACCAUUUCUUGUGCAUGUACUAUGUCACUUGGACAGCCAUGACUCACUCAGCGUCUAACAAUCCUAUGAGGUGAAGUCCAUCUUACAGAGGAAGACACUGAAGCUCAGGCUGGUGAAGCAAUCUGUUCAGUCACUUACAAAGCCAGUAAUGGAUCUGGGGAUUAGAACUGGAAUCCGUCUAAUUUAAGAGCUUCUAAGAUAUACUAUAUCAGAAUAGGAGGCGGAAGAAAAAGUUCAAAUCAUACCACAUAUAUUGGGUUUUUUAACAUAUUAAAAAAUUUCCCAUGUCAUUAAAUAUUCAUUUAAAAUAUGAGUUGUUAUACCUACAUAGUUUUCUAACCUAUAAUGUAUUUAACUCAUCCUCUAUUGAUGGACCCUUGUUUUUCACUUUUUGCUAGCAUGCAUUAGAAAACAAAUGUACCAGUUAAGGGAUCACUUCAAAUCCUCCCUCAAUUUUCCUGGGUCUGUGCUCCUGGGACAGUACAUAAACUCUAAGCAAUACUUUCUUCAUGUAUAACACCCCUGCCGACUGCACCGCAGGAUGGUGAGGAGUAACGAAGGGUGUGCGUGUGAAGCAUCCAGCACUGGCUGGGACAUUAAAAGCUCUAUCUGAAGACAGAUACUAGCUGUCUUUACUAUUAUUAUUGCUGCUACUGCUUUAAAUAAUGUUUCAAUGGACAUUCUUGUAUAUAAAUAUUUGUGUAUAUCUUUCACUAUUUUCUUAGGACAUAUUUCUAGAAGUGGAAUCAAAGGCUAUAUAAGGUUUAAUACAUACUGACAGUUUGCUUGUCACAAAGAUGUACUGAUUUAUGAAAGUACACAUUUCGCUAGACUCUCAAGAAGUGCUGUUUAAAAAAAAACUCUACCAAUUUGAUUUUAUUAUCUUAAUGGAAUUUUCUUUGAUUACUAAUGAGGGUUCCUCUUUUUCAUGUUUAUUGUUAGGAACGGCCUUUUCAUGUCCUUUGUCCAUUUUCCCUUUGGGCCUACCCUACUUUAGAAUUUCCAGAUACCUAACAGAGUCUGUCCCUAAAAGCUGACUGUUCUGUUUAUUUUAUAAACAGCUAAGUUAAGCUGGAUUUAUGACUCCAAGCAGAGGGAAGAAAUGCACACACAGAAAUGGUGCAUUCUGAGGGUACAAGGUGUCUCAGAGGCAUUUACCACAUUGAAAGGCCAUAGUUAGUCUACUUCACUGCCUGGGUUUUUUCCUAUGUAAUAUGCUACAGCAAAGAAUGCUAAACGAUAACACAUGUUCAAGAUGGUAAUAAAAUGUGCCAAGGAAGUCACAGAACAUUUGAAACUCUGACCACUGUUUAGUCUGGCAGCGCUCGUGCUCUUUAAUUAUAUGACAAAGGCCCUGUCUGUACAGCAAACUCUGUAAUAUAUUCUGACAAAUAACUGUCAUCACAUAAAAUCAAAAGACCUGAUAUGGAAGAGGAUUUGGUGUUGAGACAUGAGACAUGAAUUGGGAGUCUGUGCUUUAUGCCUCACGUUACAGUCCAUUCAGUUGGGCUUCCCUUUGUUCUACAGAGCUGACUGACAGUGACAGGUGUAUGCAAUAUACUCAGAGACAAUGCAUGGCUUUAUCAAGAGCAGAAAAACAACAACAACAACGAGUUUGCAGCAGAAGUACUUUGCUAAUUCUAAAAUGGUAAAUUACCUUAGUAAAUCACCAAAAGGAAAUCAAACAUUACAAGAGAACUGUGAUGCUAAGAGCUGCCAAAUAUUAUCAAGGGAUUGACUCUUUCAGACUUUAGAAGACACACUGAUCAUACCUAGAGAUUUUGUUUAGCUCUGAUUUCUACAGGUAGGAUGCCAUGAGCUGAUGGUUUUGCUGGCUGUAAUAACCAAACAAAUAAAGGUUUCUAAACUAUUUGAUUUGUAAAGAGACCCAAUAACCAUACAAACACAAAAUAUAAGGGCACUAUAGAAAUGCUUUAUUGCAAGACAAUGUUAUCUUUUCCCUUUUGCUAUUAUUUUCAGUGCUGCACAUUUUAACACCAUCAGAAGUAAAAUAAAUUUGUUUUACAAAUACAAAACAACCAAAAGGCAUUAACUGAUGAGCUGAAAAUCAAAGAAGCCAAUAAGAAAAGUUAGAAACUCCCACUAAGAAAAGAUAAAUAGAUAUAUCAGUCAAAACAAACAUAUUUUACACUAAUAUUAUGGUCCAAGGCAAUUGGUUCAACUGCCAUCUUUAUACAUUCCUUAAUGAACCAAUACAACAAAGAUAUUAAUCUGAUGUCAAAUAAACAAGUAAUUUAAAGAAUAGUCCUUUUAAAUCCUGAAGAUAAUGAUGCCUCUGGUGGUUGGAUAAAGAAAUGGAAAACUAUUUAUUAUGGGAAAGGAUAAAGUAGAUUCUUUGAUGCCACACCCUAUAUGUAGAUGAGAAAGCAAGCGUUCCACUGAAGGAUAUCAAUGUUUGGAUGGCAAUAGCCUAUGAACGCUUGUGAAGGGUUGGGCUGUACCAGUGUCAUCAUGACUGCCAUUGAGUCAUAGGUACUGACACUCUCACCCUAGCAUUGUCCAAAAGGAAGGUCUUAUUUCCACUGGCACACAGGCCAUUUAUAGCUUUGAGCUCCCCACUGAACUGGCUGGAAAAGCUCACUGUGUACUCACUCAUACAAAACGUCUGCACAAAUCCCAUAGAAAGGUUGCUCCAUGCAACUGAGUCAUUUCUUAAUAAUGACCAGCGAAUUGAGGACCCUAUCACUGAACUAAGCCCAAUGCUUAACUGCUCAGCAGGCUUGGAAUCUAGCCCUAGAAUUCACAUCACAUUCUGAUAGCCCAGGCUAGACCUCCUACACUAAAAUAUCUAUGGGAUUUGAGCACUACUGUUUUCACAAUGCUUUCAUUUCAUCUCCACAAGGGCCACAGAGUUUGUAGAAUAGUCUCUGGCUCUGACUAGUGGCCCAGGAAGCCUAAGGCUCUCGACAGAAGAGCUGAGGAGGAGACGAUCAGAGACCUACGGGCUGCACGCAUGGCUCACUCAAGCUUCAUGAGGAAAGACAUGGAGAAUCACAGCCCCAAAGUGUGGCUCAAGAUGCAUAAGUCUGAGCAAAUAAUGAGCAGGUGAUAAAAUAUGGCCAAGGCCAUAGUACACUUGAGAUCUGACCACCGUUCUAGACAUAUACAUAGCAAGGAAACUGGAUGACACCCACUUUGAGCAGGAGUUCAAGGAGGAAAGGUAGGAAUGCUCCAAUAAUAUAUACAAAACUUAACUCCUAAAAACCACUGCCCCUGAAGCCUGGAAGACCCAGGCUAAAGUCUAUCUCUAGAAAGUGUUCCAGACAGAACUGAGAGACCCAAACAGCUAAGUCCCUCUGGCCUAUCUGAAAGAGCUAAAAAUAAACAGUAACUCUGAACAUGCUUAAAUAGUUUAUCAAGAAAGAUUUAACAUAGUUUUCCAGAGGAAAAAUAAUUGUCUUAAUUUUUUAAAAGCCAAGUGUAAAAGGAGGAACUCAUAAAAAUAACAACCACAGAAAUACUUACCAUGUUUACUAUGUACUCAUCUUAAGUAGGAAACAAAAGAUAGUAACAAAUGACAACAACUUGAAACAGAAAUACAUAAACAACAACGAGGCUUUAGUACAGUGUUAGUAUUGUUUUUAUAAAUAUUCUAAAAAUAGGAAUAUAUAACAUAGUUUCCAAUUAUCCAAAUAAAAAUUCCAUACCUUGACCUCUCAACUCAUUGACCUCAUCACUUUGUAAACUCUUUUCUUAUCCCAGCCUCAGGCACCCAGUUUCUACACAGUUUUAUUGACCACUGAUUGUACCACUUCAAAAGCCUUACUUCCAAGCAUUCCAAAGGGAGAACACUACUUCCUAACUUCCCAGCUCAAUUCCCCCUCCACACACGCUGGAUUCUAACACUUCUCUCUUAAGGAAUAUUGUAGGGCAUAUCCCCAAGAUGGCAAGGAUAUCAGUCUAGCAAGCCUCUACUCAACCUCCUGCUUCAUCAGUUCCUAUGAGAUCAAGCGUCAGGAAUCUGUUUUAGUAAAAGGACAGAAGUAAAUACUUUUGGCUUUGCAGGCCAUAUGGACUCUUUCAAAACUACCCAGCUCUGUCCUUGUAAUACAAAAGCAGCCUCAGGCAAUAAAUAAAAUGAAUAGGUGUGGCUGUGUUCUGACAAUAUCUUAUUUACAAAAGCAGGUGGGCUGGAUGUGGCCUGUAAGCUGUAGCUGACCAACCUCUGUACUAGAUCAUUCUCAUCAACAUAGAAACAUCACUACA